rnacentral:rRNA from 1 species
GACAGAGGAUGCAAGCGUUAUCCGGAAUCACUGGGCGUAAGCGUACGCAGGCGGACCGUUUAGUCGGGUGUGAAAGCCCGGGGCUCAACCCCGGAACUGCCUUUGAAACUAGGUUGCUAGAAUCUUGGAGAGGUCAGUGGAAUUCCGAGUGUAGAGGUGAAAUUCGUAGAUAUUCGGAAAGAACACCAGUGGCGAAGGCGACUGACUGGACAAGUAUUGACGCUGAGGUGCGAAAGCGUGGGGAGCAAACAGG